rnacentral:lncRNA from 1 species
CUGCAUAUACUUUUCAAUUCCCAAGCCUAAAGGAAAAAAGGAAAAUAAUAGAAGAAUUAGUUAUCUAUUGGAAGCAGAAGAGUUCAACAAUUCAACCACCACCUACUUCUCCUCUCUCGCUUCUGUUGCUGAUCUGAGUGGUAUCUUAACUUUGAUUUCCCUAAACGCCAACAAAAACAUCACACAAUAAAAUCAGAAAUUGAAUCAAUAAAUUCACCAAAAAAGAUAAUAGAACCUAUGCAUAACCAAAUCAAUAUCAAGAAGGGAAACCUUAAAAAACAGCUAAACAAUAAUUCCAAACUACUUUCUCCAACAGCUAGUUUUUUACUAUAGUAAUUUUUUAUAUUAAUAGUAUAUUAUAGUAAUAAUAUAUUUUUGAUAGUUGAUAGUUAUAAAAUAUUAAUUCUAUAUAUAAUAUAGUUUCUAGUUAGAAAGUUGAACAUUUGUUUAUUAUACUGAAUAAUGAUAAAUUGACUCUUAAAUCGCCCGAUUUUCUUAUUUUCCAUUAUUAUAAUCAAAGGAAAAAAAAACUAUAAACAACUAAAAUAAAAAAUAAUUAAAAUCAUAAAGAAUUUUUCAUAUAUGUUCUGCAUAUACUUUUCAAUUUCCAAGCCUAAAGAAAAAAAAAAUAAUAGAAGAAUUAGUUACCUGUUGAAAGCAGAAGUUUUAUAAUUCAGCCACCACUUGCUUCUCCUCUUUUGCUUCCGUUGGUGAUCUAAAUGGUAUCUUAACUUUGAUUUUCCUAAACCCCAACAAAAACAUCAAACAAUAAAAUCAGAAAUUGAAUCAAUAAAUUCACAAAAAAAAAAAGGAUAACAGAACCUAUGCACAACCAAAUCAAUAUUUAGAAGGAAAACCUUCAGAAACAGCUAAACAACAAUUCUAAACUACUUUCUCCAAUAGUUAGUUUUUCAAAAAAAAAAAAAAAAAAAAAAAAAAAAAGAAAACCCUCAAUGGCACAUUUACUUAUAACUUAGUCAUAACUUGUCUUGUCAUAUCAAAUUAAUCCAUGGAAAACUAAAAUUUGCCAUGAAUA